CCCGUCUGUUCGGGCCGCC
rnacentral:miRNA from 1 species